CCUUGGGAAGGGCCCUCUAAGAGAUGUGAUCCGUGGGGUGUCCUCGCCACCAAAUGCCAGGAGUAUCUGGCUGAGGGCAGCGACUGUCCCUGAAAGCACUCCUGCUUCUUUGUGGACAUGGGCCUUGGAGAGAGGGGGUGCCAGCAACAGAACACCCCCCAGAGACGAGCAGCCCCAUCCCACCACUACCACCCCAAGAACCAAAGGUCCUCUCCUGCUUCAGCUUCUUCCCCUGGCUCUACGCUUCAGCUGGCAGGGCGUGCUCUGCUCUGCCACCGCUGCCCAGGUUGCCAUGGUGAGCUGGCUGCAGACCGGCUCUUGGCUGGGGACCCAGGAGGCCUGCCCCCGGCGGCCCUGCCUGAACCUCACCAUGGCGGCCUGGCAGGCGGCAGGCGGGAGCGGGCACCCUGCCCUGGCCUUGCCUUCAGGUACUGCGGCUCUGGGCUCCCCCAGCGUCUGCAUUUUGCCACCCUGGGUCGGGCUCCAGCCCUCCCAGCAGCUCUGAGUCCAGAUCUUCCUCUUCCUCCUUUCUAGCAACAGAACCUCACUACUGGUUUCUAGAUACAGUUUGGGGCUCUGGGCUGUCCUGCAGCCUAGGGAAGCUCCCCUUGCCCCUGCCCCUGUUCCAGGUAUGGGGCACAGGUUAGGGGUACAGGCAUAGGCCCUGGCUCGUUCUGCCUGGUGUGUGGAGCCUCUGCCCAGCCCAAGGCCUCCCCAGAGUGCUUGGUGCCCAUCUGGCUGGCUGGUGCCUUGGCCCUGGUCAGCCUGCACCGGGCCUCUCUGCUUCCUGCAUUCUGAAUGCCAGUUGUACGUUCCAGGGUCUCACCUCUCCCAGCUGGUCCCCCCAUGUAUUCCCAUUCCUGCAGCCCACGGCCCUUGUCCCUCGAGGGGAAGAGGCAGGUGUGUGCAGGUGGAGGCUGGUAGAAGACUGCCACCCCAUAGCAUUGAGGCAGGGACCAGACUUCUCAGGGCGGGGUGAGGGAGGGGUGGCUUAGCUCCCCCAGCACCAGGUGGGUACUGGGAAACAGGCUGGAAGAACAGCUACUGACCUGGCCCGCUUCCCCUAGCUGAGCCUCUGGGCCGGGCGCUGCGUGCCCUGGGUGUCGGUGACUUGGCUAACCCCUCAUCUCCCACCCCUGCCCAG